CUCGGAUCAGGUAGGGAUACCCGCUGAACUUAAGCAUAUCA
rnacentral:rRNA from 5 species